UACGUAGGGGGCAAGCGUUGUCCGGAAUCAUUGGGCGUAAAGCGCGUGUAGGCGGCUCGGUAAGUCUGCUGUGAAAGCCCCGGGCUCAACCUGGGAAUUGCGCUUGGGACUGUUGUGCUUGAGUUCGGGAGAGGAGAGUGGAAUUCCCAGUGUAGAGGUGAAAUUCGUAGAUAUUGGGAAGAACACCGGUGGCGAAGGCGGCUCUCUGGACCGAGACUGACGCUGAGGCGCGAAAGCGUGGGGAGCAAACAGG
rnacentral:rRNA from 1 species